CAACAUUUUGUUUGGAGGAACUUGUAAAGAUUUUGGAUUGCUUCAAGGAAGAAGGCCGGUUGAUAUAUCCAAUCUUCUAUUAUGUGGAGCCAUUAGAAUUGCGACGACCAAGAGGAAACUACGCAGAGGCAUUGGCUCGAUUGGAGGAACGAUUUAAAGAUAACAAGCUGAAGGUGGAGAAAUAGAAGAGGGCUUUGUCUGAAGCUGCUGAACUCAAAGGCUGUCAUCUAAAACCAAAGAAACUAACAAGGUUGAAGCCAUAAUUCUAGAUUUACCAAAAGGUAUGGAAGUACAAUGGAGUGGAGAGGCAUUCAUGAAGAUAAAAAUCUUAAAAUGCUUGUGAUAAGAAAAGCAUGAUUUUCCAAAUGUCCCAAACAUCUCCCAGACAGUUUAAGGUGGUUGGAAUGGAAAGAAUUUCCUUUCAAAUUUUUAGCAUAUCAUAUGCGCCCAACAGAGCUUGUUUAUCUAGACUAGUCUUUUAGUUAUUGUGAAUUGCUCCAACCAUUUGAUAAGCAAAUUCAGCAUAUUCCAGGGAUGCCACCAAACUUGGAAAAAUUCAGUGCCAUAUGUUGCAAGU